rnacentral:rRNA from 1 species
UACGGGAGGAGCAGGGGGGAAUAUUGCACAAUGGGCGCAAGCCUGAUGCAGCCAUGCCGCGUGUAUGAAGAAGGCCUUCGGGUUGUAAAGUACUUUUCAGUCGUGAGGAAGGUGUUAAGGUUAAUAACCUUAGCAAUUGACGUUAGCGACAGAAGAAGCACCGGCUAACUCCGUGCCAGCAGCCGCGGGUAAUACGGAGGGUGCGAGCGUUAAUCGGAAUUACUGGGCGUAAAGGGCACGCAGGCGGUUAAUUAAGUUGGAUGUGAAAUCCCCGGGCUUAACCUGGGAAUGGCAUUCAAGACUGGUUAGCUAGAGUCUUGUAGAGGGGGUAGAAUUCCAUGUGUAGCGGUGAAAUGCGUAGAGAUGUGGAGGAUACCGGUGGCGAAGGCGGCCCCUGGACAAAGACUGACGCUCAUGUGCGAAAGCGUGGGGAGCAAACAGGGAUUAGAUACC